CCAGCGGUACAAUGUGAUCCACCAACAAGGAGGGACGCCAAUAAGGCAUCCGAUAAGAGGGCUCUCACCACUUGCCCUCCAGACUCACAGAAGAGCAGCUUUUUUGGGCCUGUGCCCAUCUCCUGAAGCAGAUAAUGAACUCAGCUUCCUCAUCAAAACCUGCCUGUGUUGUUCGGAGGCCCUGCUACUCCUGCCUUCUCAGGCCUAGAAAGUAUCCAGAGUCUGUGAACACUGGUGUCUGAGAUCCAGUAGCAUUCUUGAAAAGAUAGAGUCUCACUAUGUAGCCCUGGUUAGCUGGCCUGGAACUUGCAAUCAGAAAUGAAAAUUCUGAAAAAAAAAAAAAGAAAGAAAGAAAAGAAAUGAAAAUUCUGAACAUGCCCAACCUAAGACUCCUUCCUCCGCCACCAGGGCAGGAGCCUGCUCCUGGUUACCGUGGCAACCGCGAGGAGCCCUAGCCAGUUCCGCUACUGCACUGACUUCUGCAGCCUUAGCUGAGAUGCAGCGGUGAGGACCGACAGACGGUGGCAGACCCAGGUUCUUCAUUCCUUCCUCGCUGCUCUGGACCCCGAGAGAACGAGGGAAGGCACACGGAUGAAAGAAGUGUGCCCCGGGGCCUCCGGAUGAGACCCUUUGCUGGGAUUUUAGCUGGAAGGUGGAGUCGCCACACAUAGGAUGCACGCAGCCACAACAGCAGCACCUGUGUCCUGAGGACCAGCCAGCCUGGGGAGACAGGCUCUCACGGAGAGGCAGAUGCGGAGUGAAGCCCCAGUCCGUAAGUACCAUCAAAUCUCCUCCUGGGUGAGCAAAUCCCUUAAAGGAAAAGGUUUUGUGUCUUGACGCCUUAAAAAAAAAAAAAAAUCACAUCUUUAGAUUCGUUAUGCUUUUCCUUGCCUUUCUGACAUAUACGAGAUUUUUUGGAACAAAUCUGUCUGCUUUUAAACGUCUUG
rnacentral:lncRNA from 1 species